UCUUGGACGAAUAAACCACUGGACGCGUAACGAGUGACGUUUUCGUCUUUACCCCGCUAGCACUUACCAAGGCUAAAUUAGCCAUGGUAAAUGUUGUCAGGUUGUCACUUUGUCAGUAUGACGCGAGCUCUCGAAGAGUAAAAAUAUCACGAAAAAUGGGUAAAUGCGCCGUACUUUAUUGCAAAAAUUAUUCCGGUCACACAAGAAAUGUUUCUUAUCACGCAUUUCCAGUGGAUCCAAAUAGAAGGAGAAAGUGGAUAGAGGCAGUCAGAAGACAAAAUACGUGGAUUCCAACUAAAAACCACUGCAUUUGUAGCAUUCAUUUUGCGGAAGAAUGCUACAAUGCCAAUUCUACGAAACAGAGAAAACUGCACAAAGAUUCUUCACCUACAUUGAAUUUGCCUAAAUUUUCACAUGAAACAAAAGAUGAUGAGAUCGACAUAGAUGGAACAUACAAAACAAGCACACCAGUAAAUGUUUUAUUUUCGGUAUGCAAUACCGAGAGAACCUUUAAGAUCUGUGUCAUCCCUCACGUUUAGUGAAAUACCGGGGUGGUUGGAACUUGAUUUGGUCCAUCCUGUCAUCAACUGUUUUUCAAUGGGACGACUUCUGAACAUCAGAGAGAUCUUGACUGUCAAGAUACGUGAAUUAGGCCACUGAACUUUUCAAAACAAAACCAACACAGGUGAAAUAUCUGAGCAUCUCCCUUGACAACAAAUUGAACUGGGCGAGUCAUAUCGACAACAUGCAUAGUGCCUAGCAAACAUAGCGGCCACGGGUUGUAUGAGAACCACUCUAUCGGCAUCACUUGACUUCUUUCUGAAUCUCAGACAUUUAGACCUCAUUAUUCAGGAGGAAGCACAAGCACCCACUCUAAGACUUAAAG